GCUCAGAUUGAACGCUAGCGGGAUGCCUUACACAUGCAAGUCGAACGGCAGCACGGACUUCGGUCUGGUGGCGAGUGGCGAACGGGUGAGUAAUGUAUCGGAACGUGCCUAGUAGCGGGGGAUAACUACGCGAAAGCGUAGCUAAUACCGCAUACGCCCUACGGGGGAAAGCAGGGGAUCGCAAGACCUUGCACUAUUAGAGCGGCCGAUAUCGGAUUAGCUAGUUGGUGGGGUAACGGCUCACCAAGGCGACGAUCCGUAGCUGGUUUGAGAGGACGACCAGCCACACUGGGACUGAGACACGGCCCAGACUCCUACGGGAGGCAGCAGUGGGGAAUUUUGGACAAUGGGGGAAACCCUGAUCCAGCCAUCCCGCGUGUGCGAUGAAGGCCUUCGGGUUGUAAAGCACUUUUGGCAGGAAAGAAACGUCAUGGGUUAAUACCCCGUGAAACUGACGGUACCUGCAGAAUAAGCACCGGCUAACUACGUGCCAGCAGCCGCGGUAAUACGUAGGGUGCAAGCGUUAAUCGGAAUUACUGGGCGUAAAGCGUGCGCAGGCGGUUCGGAAAGAAAGAUGUGAAAUCCCAGAGCUUAACUUUGGAACUGCAUUUUUAACUACCGAGCUAGAGUGUGUCAGAGGGAGGUGGAAUUCCGCGUGUAGCAGUGAAAUGCGUAGAUAUGCGGAGGAACACCGAUGGCGAAGGCAGCCUCCUGGGAUAACACUACGCU
rnacentral:rRNA from 1 species